rnacentral:rRNA from 11 species
CGUGCCAGCAGCCGCGGUAAUACGUAGGGUGCAAGCGUUGUCCGGAAUUAUUGGGCGUAAAGAGCUCGUAGGUGGUUUGUUGCGUCGGAAGUGAAAACCUGCAGCUUAACUGUGGGCUUGCUUUCGAUACGGGCAGACUUGAGGAAGGUAGGGGAGAACGGAAUUCCUGGUGGAGCGGUGGAAUGCGCAGAUAUCAGGAGGAACACCGGUGGCGAAGGCGGUUCUCUGGACCUUUCCUGACGCUGAGGAGCGAAAGCGUGGGGAGCAAACAGGCUUAGAUACCCUGGUAGUCCACGCCGUAAACGGUGGGCACUAGGUGUGGGGGACAUUCCACGUUCUCCGUGCCGUAGCUAACGCAUUAAGUGCCCCGCCUGGGGAGU